UCCCAUGUGGUCUAGUAGUUAGGAUUCCUGGCUUUCACCCAGCCCAGGCGGCCCGGGUUCGAUUCCUGGCAUGGGAA
rnacentral:tRNA from 1 species